rnacentral:misc_RNA from 1 species
AAGGAUCAUUAGCAAGUGAGUGGGGUGGUGUGGGGUGUGGGUGGGUGAGGUGUGCUUCUUGCAUGCUGCGCCUACCCCACGCCCGCUGCCAACAGACCCGACGAGCCGGGCAGUGCGUGUGUGGUGUGUGGGUCUUCUCGCACGGCACGGCACGUACAGCAUGAUACCGGCUCGCUAUGGACGCUUCAUGUUUGACAGUAUACAAGACAUUACAAGUACUAUGUACUCUUAACAACGGAUCUCUAGGCUCCU